rnacentral:rRNA from 1 species
AGCAGCCGCGGUAAUUCCAGCUCCAAUAGCGUAUAUUAAAGUUGUUGCAGUUAAAAAGCUCGUAGUUGAAUUUCGGGAUCAAUAUGUUGGUCGUGCCUCGGUACGUACUGGCAUUAUUGGUUUCUACCUUCUGAAGAACCUCGAUGUCAUUAAUUUGGUGUCUUGGGGAAUCAGGACUGUUACUUUGAAAAAAUUAGAGUGUUUAAAGCAGGCUCACGCUUGAAUACAUUAGCAUGGAAUAAUGAAAUAGGACGUUUGAUUCUAUUUUGUUGGUUUCUAGGAUUGACGUAAUGAUUAAUAGGGAUAGUUGGGGGCAUUAGUAUUCAAUUGUCAGAGGUGAAAUUCUUGGAUUUAUUGAAGACUGACUACUGCGAAAGCAUUUGCCAAGGAUGUUUUCAUUAAUCAAGAACGAAAGUUAGGGGAUCGAAGACGAUCAGGUACCGUCGUAGUCUUAACCAUAAACUAUGCCGACUAGGGGAUCGGGAUGAUGUUAAUUUUUAAUGUACUCAUUCGGCGCCUU